rnacentral:rRNA from 1 species
CCUACGGGUGGCAGCAGUGAGGAAUAUUGGUCAAUGGACGCGAGCCUGAACCAGCCAAGUAGCGUGAAGGAUGACUGCCCUACGGGUUGUAAACUUCUUUUAUAAAAGAAUAAAGUGAGGCACGUGUGCCUUUUUGUAUGUACUUUAUGAAUAAGGAUCGGCUAACUCCGUGCCAGCAGCCGCGGUAAUACGGAGGAUCCGAGCGUUAUCCGGAUUUAUUGGGUUUAAAGGGAGCGUAGAUGGGUUGUUAAGUCAGUUGUGAAAGUUUGCGGCUCAACCGUAAAAUUGCAAUUGAUACUGGCAGACUUGAGUAUAGUUGAGGUAGGCGGAAUGUGUGGUGUAGCGGUGAAAUGCUUAGAUAUCACGAAGAACGCCGAUUGCGAUGGCAGCUUACUAAACUGUCACUGACAUUGAGGCUCGAAAGUGUGGGUAUCAAACAGGAUUAGAUACCCCUGUAGUC